UUCCUGCUUUAAAUUAACACUUGAAAUACAGUUUACCUAUCUUGCCCGUCUGCCCGUUUUCAGAGAUAUGGUUGUGAUAGUGAAUCUCGUGCUUGUUCCUUUUGUGGAUAUGAACCGAAUCUUGAUAGGUAGCUAGGCCCCAGAAGAGGUGUUUUCAGUAGGUUCUGUACAUCUGUGCUUAAUAGAUCCAUUAUUCUAGUGCCCCAGCUUGACUUGAGUGAUGUAUUCUCUUUGAAAACGAGAUUAGGGAGGGGUAUAGUAGUCCAAAUAGAGUACACUAUUAUGCAUUUGUCCAUAUAUGAUCAUAUGCAUGCCUGCAAAUCUGCAAUUCCUUUUUCUCCUGCAUUUUGUUUCUUCCUUAAAAACGAGAAGCUGUCGAUGAUUGUUCCUGUCAUUCAUCCAAUCAUCCUAUUACCUAGUUUUAACUGUCGGGUUUCAGCAGAUUCAAUCAAACACCACAAAUAUGGCGAAGAAAUCCCAGAUUUUCACGGCAUCAAGACACAAUUGACCACACGUGAUGAUAACGUUGUGGGGAAAUGGAAAUUUGAUAGAAGAGGUGGAAGAGUUUUGGUCCCUUGUGACUUGUGAGUGGGAUUUUGAUUGAGCUUUUUGUGGGCAAUAUUCGAACAACAAAUGCUUGAAGACAAGUAGAUGACGGUGGAUUAACGUCACGUCUAAUCAUUAUGUUGAUGGCACAGUAUGACACGUGCUGCAACUGUAGCUCCAAUAAUAGCAUAAAACAUCAAAACCCAGAGAAGAGAAAAGCGGGGUUUGCAUAUCAUCGCAGGAUAGAUGGAGCUGAGGAUGUGAUGCAUCUAUAUAUCUUGGUUCAAUUAUAUUAUGUCUAGCUAAUGUCGUGAUUGUCAACGUUUUCACCUAAUAUCUUUAAGGAUGUGGGGUUGGGAAAGAAGGUUCAUGUCAUAUCGGAUACAUUUGCAUGUGCAAUUGUGCAUGUCUUGCCACUGCACUUUGGUUUACGUUUGACACAUAUGUUGUUAGAGUUUUAAUCAUUGUAUUUUUAUUUUUAUUUUUGUGACGAGAGAAAUUCGCAACUAUUACCUUUCUCUCAACUACUAUUUGAAUGACUGAUGUAUGCACUAUGUAAUAUUAUCUUGUAACUUUAGUCAAUAAAUGAUUCUAAAGCGAUAAACUAAUUAACUUAGUUUGUU